AGAGUUUGAUCCUGGCUCAGAUUGAACGCUGGCGGCAGGCCUAACACAUGCAAGUCGAACGGUAACAGGAAGAAGCUUGCUUCUUUGCUGACGAGUGGCGGACGGGUGAGUAAUGUCUGGGAAACUGCCUGAUGGAGGGGGAUAACUACUGGAAACGGUAGCUAAUACCGCAUAACGUCGCAAGACCAAAGAGGGGGACCUUCGGGCCUCUUGCCAUCGGAUGUGCCCAGAUGGGAUUAGCUAGUAGGUGGGGUAACGGCUCACCUAGGCGACGAUCCCUAGCUGGUCUGAGAGGAUGACCAGCCACACUGGAACUGAGACACGGUCCAGACUCCUACGGGAGGCAGCAGUGGGGAAUAUUGCACAAUGGGCGCAAGCCUGAUGCAGCCAUGCCGCGUGUAUGAAGAAGGCCUUCGGGUUGUAAAGUACUUUCAGCGGGGAGGAAGGGAGUAAAGUUAAUACCUUUGCCCAUUGACGUUACCCGCAGAAGAAGCACCGGCUAACUCCGUGCC
rnacentral:rRNA from 1 species